rnacentral:rRNA from 1 species
UACGGAGGGUGCAAGCGUUUAAUCGGAAUUACUGGGCGUAAAGCGUGCGCAGGCGGUUUGUUAAGUCUGCUGUGAAAUCCCCGAGCUCAACUUGGGAAUUGCAGUGGAUACUGGCAGGCUGGAGUACGGUAGAGGAAGGUGGAAUUCCUGGUGUAGCGGUGAAAUGCGUAGAUAUCAAGUGGAACACCAGUGGCGAAGGCGAGUCUCUGGACAUUUCCUGACGCUGAGGCACGAAAGCCAGGGGAGCAAACGGG